rnacentral:rRNA from 1 species
AUUACUCCUACGGGAGGCAGCAGUGGGGAAUAUUGCGCAAUGGGGGAAACCCUGACGCAGCAACGCCGCGUGAGUGACGAAGGCCUUCGGGUCGUAAAGCUCUGUCGGAGGGGAAGAAACUAUCUAUGGCUAACAUCCAUAGGUAUUGACGGUACCCUCAAAGGAAGCACCGGCUAACUCCGUGCCAGCAGCCGCGGUAAUAAU